rnacentral:tRNA from 1 species
GGGGGCGUGGCGAAACACGGGAAGCCGCUGGGGCCUUAAAAGCCUCUGUCCGCGAGGACGUGCAGGUUCGAAUCCUGCCGCCCCUACCA